rnacentral:rRNA from 1 species
AUACGGGAGGCAGCAGUGGGGAAUCUUGCGCAAUGGGCGAAAGCCUGACGCAGCAACGCCGCGUGUGUGAUGAAGGUCUUCGGAUCGUAAAGCACUGUCGCGAGGGACGAAUAAGGGCCGGGUUAACAGCCCGGCACGAUGACGGUACCUCGAGAGGAAGCACCGGCUAACUCUGUGCCAGCAGCCGCGGUAAUACAGAGGGUGCAAGCGUUGUUCGGAAUUAUUGGGCGUAAAGCGCGUGUAGGCGGCUUGGCAAGUCGGAUGUGAAAGCCCUCGGCUUAACCGAGGAAGUGCGUUCGAAACUGCCUGGCUUGAGUACCGGAGAGGGUGGCGGAAUUCCCGGUGUAGAGGUGAAAUUCGUAGAUAUCGGGAGGAACACCAGCGGCGAAGGCGGCCACCUGGACGGAUACUGACGCUGAGACGCGAAAGCGUGGGUAGCAAACAGGAUUAGAUACCCCGGUAGU